rnacentral:lncRNA from 1 species
CCUCGAGCCAGUCUGACGCCAGGCGCCGCGAAGAUAUGACGUCACUGUUUCGCGCUUUGCCAAAGUACUUUUCUCGCCAAGCUCGCAGCAAACUUCUUCAGACGUCUCUCGAGGAUCGGCCAAAGAAGUGUAACAUCGCAACGUGAAAUUAUCGAAAA